GCAUACGUGGCCGAGUGGUUAAAAACAUAUAAGGCGAGAGAUUAGAAUUAAUAAUUAUCUCUUGGGUUUUACCCUCGCAAGUUCGAAUCUUGCCGUGUGCG
rnacentral:tRNA from 1 species